UUUGUUCAUUUUUAUCAAUUAUAAAUAAUUAAUUGGUAGUUCAAAAAUUGAAAAUUCAAAUGUUUUCAGAUUCAUGUGUUUAUUGAGAUUAUGUUGUUCAUAACUUCAAUUUUUUAUUGAGAUUUAUAUUUGCAUUUAUUUAUAUUUAAAUUAUUUAAUAUAUGUAUUUAUUUAUUUAAAAUAUCGUUCAAUUUCAACAUUGGUCGUGCAUCGCACGAGCGGGCAUACUAGU
rnacentral:lncRNA from 1 species